CCACCCCAGAGUGCCCACUUGAGGUCCUGCGGCUGUGCUUGAAACAAGGAAAGGAAUGAGAAGAUGAAGUGGUCGGAUCUGAUUCCCAGGACACAAUGUCUUUAGAACCAUCGCGAGCCCUGGGCCUGUGCUGUGCCGGCCUCCCGGAAACAGGAAGUCUGGCCCAGAGCUCAGCCAAGGGUGGAGGUGAAACCACCGCGGUCCCAGAAGAGCCCUUGAGCCUGACAGCACAGGCCCGCUCCCACGGGUAGCUUUGCAAGAGCACUUGGAGCAUUUUUCUAAAAUCACGGAAAUAAAGCCUCUGCUUGAAAGGCAACCAACAGACCAGCUUCAGGCCGUGCUGUGCGGUCCCCUCCUCCCUGGGGACGACCUCCUGCACUGCGCCGUGACUCCGGCAUCCGCCCGGCCCAGCUCUCCAUGGUGCAGGGUACACGGCGAAAUGGCUCCCGUGCGCAGGCACAGAGCGGACAGAACUGCGAGCGGGACCCCUGAGACGGAGGCUGGCAGAGCGCACCACAGGCGACUGGAGGCGGCUGCUCACCAAACUCAGGGUCGCAGCUUAGCCAUCUGCUCAGUUCGCUGCUAAGUGACUGCUCCGGCGAAGUCAUUCGUAUCAGCUGUAGGCACCACGAUCUCACGUGUCAGACAGGAGAGCUCUGAGCCAUGGACCCCGGCACCACAGGGGUUGAUACAGGAAAAUAAAAACCCCAAC
rnacentral:lncRNA from 1 species